UACGGAGGAUGCGAGCGUUAUCCGGAUUUAUUGGGUUUAAAGGGUGCGUAGGCGGGUUAUCAAGUCAGCGGUAAAAUCGUGGAGCUCAACUCCAUCCAGCCGUUGAAACUGAUGAUCUUGAGUGGGCGAGAAGUAUGCGGAAUGCGUGGUGUAGCGGUGAAAUGCAUAGAUAUCACGCAGAACCCCGAUUGCGAAGGCAGCAUACCGGCGCCCGACUGACGCUGAAGCACGAAAGCGUGGGUAUCGAACAGG
rnacentral:rRNA from 1 species